ACAGAUGAAGUUGAAGAAGUCAAGCAAACAUUUUGCAAAACAAGUCAAAGAUCUUCUGAACUGAGCCAUGGCAAAGUCCUGUCCUUCGGGAGAGGGGGAGCUUGUUGCACCUGCAGAUUCGCCGUAGGACACUUAGUGGUGUGGCAUGGAAAGAGGUAUUGACCCUGUGCUGAGUUGAGAAAUGUGUCUAGACCAGGUUCAUCAAUUUGGAGCAACCGUUUAGGAGGCCAUUGCUCCCAAAGAUACCUCCAGGUCUCAGGGACGUGACACUCCCAGGGAACCUCAGCGGACUCCAGCAGUCUCUCCUGCUCAACUUGCUGAGUGAAAAUGAGUGAACAGAGGUAGUGGAAACCAGAUGGUCAGAAACAUACUAAAGGCUCUCAUGAAGGGAAUUUAAUUGAGAGGGAAGGAUUUGUCACCUUUCACUUCUCCCUAUCAGGGCUUCUGAAAUCAAACAGAGUGAAAUUUGGCAGAGCUCAUCAUGGAUCUGAAGUCUAUUUCUACUAAAUAAAUUAGUGAAUCGGUGACUAACAUUAGAACUAAAUCAGC